rnacentral:lncRNA from 1 species
GAAUAUAAUAUAUAGUUACAGUUAUAGUAAGGAUAACUUAAUAGAACUGUAUAAUCUUAUUUUGCUAUUCCAGCAGAAGCAUUAUGGACACCAUGUAUGUGCUGAGGAGUGGGAGGAUUGCUGAAGUUUGUGCAGAGGUAUUACAGGUUGGAAAGAAGAAAUGGGGACAAGUGAGGCAAGUGUAGGAGUGAGCGGGCUAGAAUCUGGGAGUCAGCAGCUCACGUGUCAGUUCAUCAAGGAUGAUCAAGAAAUAGGACCUGAAAGAAAUUGUAUUUCCAGUAUAAAGAGUGCUGCUACACAAAAAUUUAUAUAGCUGAAUGUACAGCUUCCUGCUCUUCAGUAUCCAAAUCAGUGCUGUUAAGAUCAGUGUGGAAGCUGAAGAACUUGGUAUGCCAGUACACAGGGCUACACUUGGUACAGUGUGAGAAGACAAGAAACUAAGUGAACAGUUAAAGAGCAGUCGUUUCUGGGAGUUCAGGUGUGUUACCUGACUGGUCCAGGAAGAUAAAUUAUAUAUUCAUUAAUUUUCAGUGUUUGGAGCUUUGUCUUCAAAGUAACAAAUCUGCAGCCAUAUUACCUUUAGGUCAUUGUGUAAUGCAUGCCCAACUAAAAUCCUUCCAUUCAAGAUA